rnacentral:rRNA from 1 species
GACGAACGCUGGCGGCGUGCCUAAUACAUGCAAGUAGAACGCACAGUUUAUACCGUAGCUUGCUACACCAUAGACUGUGAGUUGCGAACGGGUGAGUAACGCGUAGGUAACCUGCCUGGUAGCGGGGGAUAACUAUUGGAAACGAUAGCUAAUAUCGCAUAAUAUUAAUUAUUGCAUGAUAAUUAAUUGAAAGGUGCAAUCGCACCACUACCAGAUGGACCUGCGUUGUAUUAGCUAGUAGGUGAGGUAACGGCUCACCUAGGCGACGAUACAUAGCCGACCUGGGGGGGUGAUCGGCCACACUGGGACUGAGACACGGCCCAGACUCCUGCGGGAGGCAGCAGUAGGGAAGCUUCGGCAAUGGACGAAAGUCUGACCGAGCAACGCCGCGUGAGUGAAGAAGGUUUUCGGAUCGUAAAGCUCUGUUGUAAGAGAAGAACGGGUGUGAGAGUGGAAAGUUCACACUGUGACGGUAUCUUACCAGAAAGGGACGGCUAACUACGUG